CUUGUUUUAGGUAGGGUGAAGAUAGAUUUUAAGUCGCUUUAUUUAUUUCAAACAGCAUUUAAAUUAAAAAGAUGUUUAAAUCCACUGCUUAGGGAAAAUUAAAUCAUUUUGAAUCACAGAGGUUGAUGUGUAAUAGAAAUCACAAGGGAUCUCCUGGUUGUGUCAUUUAUAUCAAAAGAAGUGCUGAGAGAGAAAUUUCAAAGGAUUUCACAUUAAACAUUACAAUGGAAAGAAAAUGGCUUUCACAAAAAUAAAGGGUAAAAAAGAGUAAAAUUAAUGUGAUGUUUCCAUUUGCCCUGUAGUCUUGUUGUGUCACUACGUGUUUAGAAAUCUGCUCCCUGGUCUUCAUCCAACAGUUUUGAAAUGAAGCUGUUGAAAACUGUGAUCAGCAAGCCCCCUUUUGCUCUCACUGCUCUUUAUUUUCUUUUUCCCUCUGCAGACACCAUCAGUUGCAUCCUUCCAAUCCUCUCCGUAAACCCAUCCUCCCCAAAAGGAUCUUUAAUAUGCUGGAAGUGAGUAUGUUCUCUUCAAAGGAGGUGGGAACAAAUGAACAUAUUCAGGGUGUACUGUAACAUCGUUGUGAAGGAAAUGAGGGAGCCAUACGGGAAGAGCAUUUCAGACAAAGAAGCUGAAAGUGCUGGGGCCAUGAAGCAGAAGUGCCUUGGAUGCUGGAGGAAUGGUAUGAGAUGUCAUCAUGUAUGAUCUCCACCAACAUCCUAGCCACUACAAUUGUCAUUCAUCUGACUGAGUUUAUCUUUGGCACGUUCAAAGUCAUGCUAUAAUAGUGCUUAAGAGUGGUCCAGCU